rnacentral:rRNA from 2 species
GCAGUCGAACGAACUCUGGUAUUGAUUGGUGCUUGCAUCAUGAUUUACAUUUGAGUGAGUGGCGAACUGGUGAGUAACACGUGGGAAACCUGCCCAGAAGCGGGGGAUAACACCUGGAAACAGAUGCUAAUACCGCAUAACAACUUGGACCGCAUGGUCCGAGUUUGAAAGAUGGCUUCGGCUAUCACUUUUGGAUGGUCCCGCGGCGUAUUAGCUAGAUGGUGAGGUAACGGCUCACCAUGGCAAUGAUACGUAGCCGACCUGAGAGGGUAAUCGGCCACAUUGGGACUGAGACACGGCCCAAACUCCUACGGGAGGCAGCAGUAGGGAAUCUUCCACAAUGGACGAAAGUCUGAUGGAGCAACGCCGCGUGAGUGAAGAAGGGUUUCGGCUCGUAAAACUCUGUUGUUAAAGAAGAACAUAUCUGAGAGUAACUGUUCAGGUAUUGACGGUAUUUAACCAGAAAGCCACGGCUAACUACGUGCCAGCAGCCGCGGUAAUACGUAGGUGGCAAGCGUUGUCCGGAUUUAUUGGGCGUAAAGCGAGCGCAGGCGGUUUUUUAAGUCUGAUGUGAAAGCCUUCGGCUCAACCGAAGAAGUGCAUCGGAAACUGGGAAACUUGAGUGCAGAAGAGGACAGUGGAACUCCAUGUGUAGCGGUGAAAUGCGUAGAUAUAUGGAAGAACACCAGUGGCGAAGGCGGCUGUCUGGUCUGUAACUGACGCUGAGGCUCGAAAGUAUGGGUAGCAAACAGGAUUAGAUACCCUGGUAGUCCAUACCGUAAACGAUGAAUGCUAAGUGUUGGAGGGUUUCCGCCCUUCAGUGCUGCAGCUAACGCAUUAAGCAUUCCGCCUGGGGAGUACGGCCGCAAGGCUGAAACUCAAAGGAAUUGACGGGGGCCCGCACAAGCGGUGGAGCAUGUGGUUUAAUUCGAAGCUACGCGAAGAACCUUACCAGGUCUUGACAUACUAUGCAAAUCUAAGAGAUUAGACGUUCCCUUCGGGGACAUGGAUACAGGUGGUGCAUGGUUGUCGUCAGCUCGUGUCGUGAGAUGUUGGGGUUAAGUCCCGCAACGAGCGCAACCCUUAUUAUCAGUUGCCAGCAUUAAGUUGGGCACUCUGGUGAGACUGCCGGUGACAAACCGGAGGAAGGUGGGGAUGACGUCAAAUCAUCAUGCCCCUUAUGACCUGGGCUACACACGUGCUACAAUGGAUGGUACAACGAGUUGCGAACUCGCGAGAGUAAGCUAAUCUCUUAAAGCCAUUCUCAGUUCGGAUUGUAGGCUGCAACUCGCCUACAUGAAGUCGGAAUCGCUAGUAAUCGCGGAUCAGCAUGCCGCGGUGAAUACGUUCCCGGGCCUUGUACACACCGCCCGUCACACCAUGAGAGUUUGUAACACCCAAAGUCGGUGG